UCCCUAUUUCGGGUUGGAUUUCCCUUAAUCCUUUGUCCACUACAUGUUGCUGAGGUUGAGGAUGGCUUUCUUUUUGUGAGAAGACUGGGGCAAAGAAGGCAAUAAGUAGUUCUGCCUUUUCCCUAGCCCGUCACCAUCACCCCAUCUUCUCAUCAGAGGCCCUAUCGCCUCCUUGUUCUUCCUUUUUCUACCGACUAAGCAAAAAAAAAGAAGCCUUUAGCCUUGUGAACCUUUUCCCUACAGGAGUUGCUACAGGAGUUGAAUUCUUCUUUGGUGAUUUCUCCCCUUUUCCAUAUCAGAAAUAAAUAAAACAAACUAAGAAUAAUAACAUUGUAGUAAAAACAUAGUUGAUUUAAAACACAAUUAUAUACCAGGGCAAAACCAGUUCAGCCAGUUAGGAUUUGUAUAACUGUAAAACCACAAUCAUAGUAAGUUAUAAAUUAGUUGCUUCCGAACGCCUGCUUGUAGGUUGACUCAGAGCCAAUCACUGUCAUUCAGCCUAAUUUAUCUCACAAGGGAACUACGUUGAUAAAGAAAUUGGAAGAUGUCUUUUCAUGCUGCCUUGAGAAAAUAUUGUAUUUGUGUACAGACUCAAGAGUUGUCUAGUGCCAUUUCAGACCUUGUUCCCAAUUUCUUACUCAACUCUAAGCUGCAAUCUUUUUGGUUCUGUAAUUCUGAAGCAAAACACACAUAGCUCUUUCCUUCCAACCUUUAGAAAGGGUUGUGAUGGUGAUCAUGGUCAGUUCAACUAUGUAGACACUUGCCAACCAAAGAAAAAGAAAUCCAUGGCGCCAAGCUAUGGUCAUCAGUGAAAUUCUUGAGGCUUUAAAACGUGCAUGUGUGAGGAGAUAGCUCAUGCAUUUAACCUGUGUUUCAAAAACUCUUUUCUGAUUAGUUUAGGAUAAAUUCUUCCCAGUCAGAACUUUUAGGAUGGGUAAGUGUACACUUCAUCGGAGUUAAAUUUUGACAAAUAUUUUUAACUUUUACCAUCACUCUCUCAUACACAAAUAACACUUCCUGAAAACAAGUGAGGGUUAUAGCUCAGAGGUAGAAGUAUUUCAAUGUGUAAGAUGACAGAUAUAACCCUUUUUAUCUCCAGUUACGAAAGAUCUCAGGUAUCAGGUUGGAAAACAUCACUAUCAGAAAUCUUAAACAGGUGCUGCAAGACCAAGGAGUAAGUAAUGAGCCAAACAGAGUAAUAGCCUAACUCAAUGCAAAGCAACUUCACAUUGCCACCCCAAUCCUCAAAUUGCCGUCCAGUCUCAAACUGAUCUCUGAUCUCACAUACUACUCCUACGUAGAGUACACCCAAAGAGAAGACUAUCCUUGUCUUUAAUGAAUAACUGCUACAAGAAUGGAUCUGUCAGUAUGAUUCAAAACUACUCUUUUAUGCACAUUAACUUUCAUCUUACAACACUGGCAAUCCCUCGUGGCCAAGUAUGAUUGUUUUCCAAGGGUAGAGACUUGGUGGGGGUCCGUAAGUGAUGUGCAUGGUCUUUCACAUUGAGGACAUACAUUUCCAAAUGGAAGGAAAUCCCAACAAGUUUGCUUGAUGAUCCUUUCUCUUAGCACAUUUCUCCCUUACUCCCCCUAUACAGGCAUCUUCAAAAUCCAUAGCACUGGAGUGUUGUGUGGCUUCCAGGCUGUAUGGCCAUGUUCUAGCAGCAUUUCCUCCUGACGGUUCACCUGCAUCUCUGGCUGGCAUCUUCAGAGGAUCCUCUGAAGCUGAGAGUAAAGUAACUGCAUUCGUAGAUGAUUGCGCAUUUGGACACUGUGCCCAGUCCAACGACGUUGAUGGCAUUAACUUUGAGAUUAAAGCUAACAUUAACUUUAUACAAAGAUGAGCUUUCUUACCCUUGUGAGAAAGUGACAGGAAUAAGAAACAAUUAUGGAUCCUACCUUUGCACUGAAACCUAUAGGGUGGAAGUUAAAUAACUUAUAAGAACAGUUCUAAGACACAUUCUUCUAUUUCAAACACAGUAGCUUUACAUUCAAAAAUAGAAAUACAUUGAAAAGCAAAAUAAGUCUACCCUAAUACAUGACAGUAACUCCGCUAUCAAAAUAGUAAGACACAAUAUUUUUCAACAAACCAUAGGCUGCCCUAGAGUAAACGUAAAGGUUUUCACCUGACAUUGUCGAGUCAUGUCUGACUCUGGGCACUGGUGCUCAUCUCCAUUUCUAAGCCAAAGAGCUGGCAUUGUUCGUAGACGCCUCCAAGGUCAUGUGGCUGGCAUGUGUGCAUGGAGCGCCAUUACCUUCCCGCUGGAGUGGUACCUAUUGAUCUACUCUACUCCCAUUUGCAUGUUUUUGAAUUGCUAGGUUGGCAGAAGCUAGGCCUAACAGCGGUAGCUCACCCCACUCCCCGGAUUCAAACCGCCAAGCUUUCAGUCAGCAAGUUCAGUGGCUCAGCGGUUUAACCUGCUGCGCCACCGGGAGCUCCAUGUUUCCCCCAAAAUAAGACAGGAUCUUAUAUUUUUGCUCCAAAAAAUGUGUUAGGGCUUGUUUUCAUGGACAGACUUAUUUUUUUCUUAAUUGACUUCUUAAAUGAACUAUAUCUAGGGCUUAUAUAUGAAAUAGGGAUUCUAUUUUGAGCAUCCUCAGAAAUGCUGAAAAAUCAUGAAAGGUCUUAUUUUGGGGAUAGGUCUUAUUUUGCGGGAAACAGGAUAUUAGCAUCAGCAGACAGAAUGCUAUCUUUAAACUGAGCAAAAUCAUUAGUCCAUCCAGUCCAGUAAGGGCACCAUCACUCAGAGCCAGAGAUUGUACAUAUUUUUCUAGUCUUAUUUGGAGAUGCCAGGAAUUGAAGCUGAGAACUUUAUCAUGCAGCAACAUGCUCCACCACACAAGUGACCUGAAUAUCUCGUUCAAAAUACAAACAAAAACUGAACAUCCAUUUCAUCCCCUCAAAUGAAAUUUUCCUUCACUACCCAAAUUUCUACUGUCACAAACCGUGAAACAUUAAAAAUCAUUCCCACCUAUAAUAAUCAGCUGUACUCACUUUAUCUUUGUUACUUUGCCAGGUUCUUCUCUUUGGAUACCUAAAUGCACAACAAAAGCUUUAAGUUAUUGCAGAGCUAAACAACUGGGGAAUGGAGGAACAUUUUCAGAGGCAGAAUUCUUGCUUAUUAUCUGCAUCUCUACCUAAAUGGGAAUGCAUCUCAGCAUGUUUUACAAAAUACAAAGCACCACAUUUCAAGGAAAGGCCAAAGAAAGCUACAGAAAAAGAGAAAAACAAUGAAAAAGCUGCUGUUCGCCUUCGUUGUCUUGGCUUUUUGUGCCAUCCCAUGACGUGGACCUUCUUGUGAUGACUUCACCCUUUGGACCUUGGACUGGAACUCGACUUGAAAUAUCUCUUCGCUCCCAAACUCGGCUUGGUAUCAUUCUCAUCUCCGUGGCUGUCUACUGUUGCCGACUGCUGGCUUCGUUCUUGAUCCUGACGCUGUUUCCUUAUCCCGACUUCGGACUGGCUUGACUUCGUUACAACGCUACGCUCCUUUAACUCCUGGCCUGGCUUUCGACUCUGCAGCAGUUUGCCGCUAAUUCUUCAGCAUCUUCCAGUUUUGCUUGUUUGCGCCGCUUGCGGCGAAGAGCUUUAGCCCGGUUUGGGUUUCUGCUUUAGUUUUGGAAUCGCUGCUGUACUUCUGGGUUUUGGGAAAGUUUUUGGGGCUUUGUUUGUUUUGCCAUUUUAAGCCCGUUUUGUGUUUUUGGGCUGAGUUCAAGUACUUUAGUUUAAAUCUGGAUUAUAUCUCUGGAUAAUCUGGAUUAUAAACCAGUUCGUGCUUUUGGCGUUUUUUCUGUUUUGACUGUUUAAUAACACUGAAGAUUAAGUGUUUUAAGCCUCUGGACAAUUUACUAAGCUGUUUUUGAGUUAUUACUUUAAUAAACUAUAUUUUGCUCUCA